rnacentral:rRNA from 1 species
UAUCUCUGUAGAGUCUGCAUAUCAAUAAGCGGAGGAAAAGAAACUAACUAGGAUUCCCUCAGUAACGGCGAGUGAGGCGGGAAGAGCUCAAAUUUGAAAUCUUCAAGGUUCUACCUUGACGAAUUGUAGUUUAAAGAAGUGUUUUCUGUUGGAGUUUCGGUAAAAGUUCUUUGGAAUAGGACAUCAUAGAGGGUGAGAAUCCCGUAUUUGACCAUUAUUCUCAGCUGUGUGAUACACUUUCAAAGAGUCGGAUUGUUUGGGGAUGCAGUCCAAAAUGGGUGGUAAAUUUCAUCUAAAGCUAAAUACUGGCGAGAGACCGAUAGCGAACAAGUACCGUGAGGGAAAGAUGAAAAGAACUUUGAAAAGAGAGUUAAACAGUACGUGAAAUUGUCAAAAGGGAAGCGUUUGACACCAGUGUUGUUUUCUCGAAAAUCAAUUAAAAAAGGCAGGAUUUUGUGUUGUAUUGACUUUAUCAGCUUUCUGCACUCUUUUCUUGUCUUUUUUAAUGCACUUUUCGUUUAACAAGUCAACAUCAAUUUCUUUUGUUGUAAAAGGGUCAUUGGAAGGUGGCUUUCUUUUCGGAGAAAGUGUUUAUAGCCUUAUGCCUCUACAAUCGGAGAGAUUGAGGUCUGCAGCGUAGAUCCUUCGGGGUUAGAUACAUUUGUGCUAAGUUAUAGCCUUUCAUAGACAACUUGUUGACUAUGAUCAGUCAUGUAGCUUACUCGCUUAUGCUAUUUUACCUACGCUUAGGAUGUUGAAGAUGUAGCACAUCAU